AUGCAGUCGAGCGGAUGAGUGGAGCUUGCUCCAUGAUUCAGCGGCGGACGGGUGAGUAAUGCCUAGGAAUCUGCCCGGUAGUGGGGGAUAACGUUCCGAAAGGAACGCUAAUACCGCAUACGUCCUACGGGAGAAAGCAGGGGACCUUCGGGCCUUGCGCUAUCGGAUGAGCCUAGGUCGGAUUAGCUAGUUGGUGAGGUAAUGGCUCACCAAGGCGACGAUCCGUAACUGGUCUGAGAGGAUGAUCAGUCACACUGGAACUGAGACACGGUCCAGACUCCUACGGGAGGCAGCAGUGGGGAAUAUUGGACAAUGGGCGAAAGCCUGAUCCAGCCAUGCCGCGUGUGUGAAGAAGGUCUUCGGAUUGUAAAGCACUUUAAGUUGGGAGGAAGGGUUGUACGUUAAUACCGUGCAAUUUUGACGUUACCGACAGAAUAAGCACCGGCUAACUUCGUGCCAGCAGCCGCGGUAAUACGAAGGGUGCAAGCGUUAAUCGGAAUUACUGGGCGUAAAGCGCGCGUAGGUGGUUCGUUAAGUUGGAUGUGAAAGCCCCGGGCUCAACCUGGGAACUGCAUCCAAAACUGGCGAGCUAGAGUACGGUAGAGGGUGGUGGAAUUUCCUGUGUAGCGGUGAAAUGCGUAGAUAUAGGAAGGAACACCAGUGGCGAAGGCGACCA
rnacentral:rRNA from 1 species